CAAAGAUUAAGCCAUGCAUGUCUAAGUAUAAACAAAUUUAUACAGUGAAACUGCGAAUGGCUCAUUAAAUCAGUUAUAAUUUAUUUGAUAUUCACUUACUACUUGGAUAACCGUGGUAAUUCUAGAGCUAAUACAUGCGUACAUAACCUCGACUUCUGGAAGAGGUGCACUUAUUAGAUAAAAAGCCAACGCGGGCAACCGCUUGUAUGGUGAUUCAUAAUAAUUAAGCGAAUCGCAUGGCCUUGUGCCGGCGAUGAUGCAUUCAAAUUUCUGCCCUAUCAAGUUUCGAUGGUAGGUUAGUGGCCUACCAUGCUUUUAACGGGUAACGGGGAAUUAGGGUUCGAUUCCGGAGAGGGAGCCUGAGAAACGGCUACCACAUCCAAGGAAGGCAGCAGGCGCGCAAAUUACCCAAUCCCGACACGGGGAGGUAGUGACAAUAAAUAACAAUACAGGGCCUUUACGGGUCUUGUAAUUGGAAUGAGUACAAUUUAAAUCCCUUAACGAGGAACAAUUGGAGGGCAAGUCUGGUGCCAGCAGCCGCGGUAAUUCCAGCUCCAAUAGCGUAUAUUAAAGUUGUUGCAGUUAAAAAGCUCGUAGUUGAAUUUUGGCCUUGGGUGGUUUGGUUUGGCCUUCAUUGGUCAAUGCCUUUUCCGCCUAGGUCUUACCUUCUGGGUUAGCUAGUGUCAUUUCGGUGGCGCUAGUGAACCAGAACUUUUACUUUGAAAAAAUUGGAGUGUUUAAAGCAGGCUUUCAAGCUUGAACAUAUUAGCAUGGAAUAAUGAAAUAGGACUUUGGCCUUAUUUCGUUGGUUUCUAAAGCCAAAGUAAUGAUGAAUAGGGAUAGUUGGGGACAUUAGUAUUCAAUUGUCAGAGGUGAAAUUCUUGGAUUUAUUGAAGACUAACUUCUGCGAAAGCAUUUGUCAAGGAUGUUUUCAUUAAUCAAGAACGAAAGUUAGGGGAUCGAAGACGAUCAGAUACCGUCGUAGUCUUAACCAUAAACUAUGCCGACUAAGGAUCGGAUGGUGUUAUAUUUUAUAUUGACCCAUUCGGCAUUUCAGCGAAAGCCAAGUUUUUGGGUUCCGGGGGGAGUAUGGUCGCAAGGCUGAAACUUAAAGG
rnacentral:rRNA from 2 species